rnacentral:rRNA from 1 species
ACAAAAAUGCACAUGCUGUGAGCUCGAUGAGUAGGGCGGGACACGUGGUAUCCUGUCUGAAUAUGGGGGGACCAUCCUCCAAGGCUAAAUACUCCUGACUGACCGAUAGUGAACCAGUACCGUGAGGGAAAGGCGAAAAGAACCCCGGCGAGGGGAGUGAAAAAGAACCUGAAACCGUGUACGUACAAGCAGUGGGAGCACGCUUAGGCGUGUGACUGCGUACCUUUUGUAUAAUGGGUCAGCGACUUAUAUUCUGUAGCAAGGUUAACCGAAUAGGGGAGCCGAAGGGAAACCGAGUCUUAACUGGGCGUUAAGUUGCAGGGUAUAGACCCGAAACCCGGUGAUCUAGCCAUGGGCAGGUUGAAGGUUGGGUAACACUAACUGGAGGACCGAACCGACUAAUGUUGAAAAAUUAGCGGAUGACUUGUGGCUGGGGGUGAAAGGCCAAUCAAACCGGGAGAUAGCUGGUUCUCCCCGAAAGCUAUUUAGGUAGCGCCUCGUGAAUUCAUCUCCGGGGGUAGAGCACUGUUUCGGCAAGGGGGUCAUCCCGACUUACCAACCCGAUGCAAACUGCGAAUACCGGAGAAUGUUAUCACGGGAGACACACGGCGGGUGCUAACGUCCGUCGUGAAGAGGGAAACAACCCAGACCGCCAGCUAAGGUCCCAAAGUCAUGGUUAAGUGGGAAACGAUGUGGGAAGGCCCAGACAGCCAGGAUGUUGGCUUAGAAGCAGCCAUCAUUUAAAGAAAGCGUAAUAGCUCACUGGUCGAGUCGGCCUGCGCGGAAGAUGUAACGGGGCUAAACCAUGCAC